CGUAGUUUCCAUUUUUUUAUCCUUGUAAAGUAUAUAACUGAUAAAAGCAUUUCGGACAUCACUUCAAACUACCAUCUGUAAAUAUUUCUCGCAAUCAUUUGCACUGACUUUUCGAUAUAUAGCCAGGAUUAAAUUACCUAUGUUUUGCUGUAAUUGCAAUCAAGGGCAAAUAUAAAAUCGGCGCAAAUGAAAAAAAAAAUGAA
rnacentral:lncRNA from 1 species